AAUAUUGCACAAUGGGCGCAAGCCUGAUGCAGCCAUGCCGCGUGUAUGAAGAAGGCCUUCGGGUUGUAAAGUACUUUCAGCAGUGAGGAAGGUGGAUAUGUUAAUAGCAUAUUCAUUUGACGUUAGCUGCAGAAGAAGCACCGGCUAACUCCGUGCCAGCAGCCGCGGUAAUACGGAGGGUGCGAGCGUUAAUCGGAAUUACUGGGCGUAAAGCGCAUGCAGGUGGUUUGUUAAGUCAGAUGUGAAAGCCCGGGGCUCAACCUCGGAAUUGCAUUUGAAACUGGCAAACUAGAGUACUGUAGAGGGGGUAGAAUUUCAGGUGUAGCGGUGAAAUGCGUAGAGAUCUGAAGGAAUACCGGUGGCGAAGGCGGCCCCCUGGACAGAUACUGACACUCAGAUGCGAAAGCGUGGGGAGCAAACAGGAUUAGAUACCCUGGAG
rnacentral:rRNA from 1 species